AAAACAAAGAAAGUAGAAGGAAAAUAUCAUCUUCUCCUCUAGGUAUUUCAAGCAUUUUCUUUUGCUUUCUAUGAUGUUUUUGUCGUAUCCAAAGUCGACCGUGAAAGUAAAGCAGCAAGAGAUUAGGAGGGCAUAUUUGUUACUGCAGUGCGCCUCCGUCUUCUAAGAGAAGCUGUCCAUGGGCGACGCAGCAAGGAUAAUUGUUAAUGGUUAGAAGCACCCACGUGUGAUUGGAAGGCCUUCAUUAGUACCCGCAGCUACAGAUCCCUCUACUGCACUACAUCCUAAAUAAUGUAUGGAAGUAUAAUUUAUUUUCUUUGCUAUAUGCAUGAAUACCUUCAUUAGUACAUGCAUCUACAGAGCCCUCUACUGCACUACAUCCUACAUCGUACAUGGAAGUAUAAUUGAUUUGCUUUGCUAAGCCAUAAAAGGAAACAAGGAAAGGAUCGAUAUAGUCAUUUGUCUGAAGUAUAGUCACUAAUGGAAAAUUGCAUUGAUAUAUGCUGUGGUUGUAUAUUUGCACAAUCUUCACUUUUAUUGGUUUUCAAUUAUUGGCAACUUGUAUAUUUGUA